rnacentral:rRNA from 1 species
UACGGAGGAUGCAAGCGUUAUCCGGAAUGAUUGGGCGUAAAGCGUCCGCAGGUGGCAAUGUAAGUCUGCUGUCAAAGCGUCUGGCUCAACCAGAUAAAGGCAGUGGAAACUACAUAGCUAGAGUAAGGUAGGGGUAGAGGGAAUUCCUGGUGUAGCGGUGAAAUGCGCAGAUAUCAGGAGGAACACCGGUGGCGAAGGCGGUUCUCUGGGCAUGAUCUGACGCUGAGGAGCGAAAGUGUGGGGGGCGAACAGG